rnacentral:tRNA from 1 species
CGAUAUAACUCAGUUGGUAGAGUAGCUGAUUUGUAAUCAGCCUGUCGGGGGUUCAAGUCCCUCUAUCGG